rnacentral:rRNA from 1 species
CCUACGGUGCGCAGCAGUCGAGAAUCAUUCACAAUGGGGGAAACCCUGAUGCAGCGACGCCGCGUGUGGGAAGACGGUCCUCUGGAUUGUAAACCACUGUCCCCAGGGACGAAGAUGACGGUACCUGGGGAGGAAGCUCCGGCUAACUACGUGCCAGCAGCCGCGGUAAUACGUAGGGAGCGAGCGUUGUCCGGAAUUACUGGGUGUAAAGGGAGCGUAGGCGGGGAUGCAAGUUGGGUGUCAAAACUACCGGCUCAACUGGUAGUCGCACUCAAAACUGCAGCUCUUGAGUGAAGUAGAGGCCGGCGGAAUUACUAGUGUAGCGGUGAAAUGCGUAGAUAUUAGGAGGAACACCAGUGGCGAAGGCGGCCGGCUGGGCUUUUACUGACGCUGAGGCUCGAAAGUGUGGGGAGCAAACAGGAUUAGAUACCCCAGUAGUC